CAAUGGCGGGCAGCAGCUGCUCCCUGGCAGGGCUGCCCCUCAGCCAGCCGAGCCAGUUCACAGCUUCGGCGCGAAACCUCGCCAGAAAGGCUGGCUUGCGUUUGGACAACUAAAGGAUGACAAUCCCCACUCACUGAAAACCAGUAUACUACAAAACACACAGGCCACAAUCAGCUGUUUCAUAUACUGCACAGUGAACCUCUGGCUCUAUUUCUGUAGCGUUCUGUAGCGUUGUUCGGGAGUUUUGUGUUUCCUGUGUUUCAUACCCAACGAAAGGAAAAAUUCAAAGAAUUUCUAUAAUCUGCCAAACUCUACAUUCUUCUC
ensembl:lncRNA